UACAGAGGUCCCGAGCGUUGUUCGGAUUCACUGGGCGUAAAGCGCACGUAGGCGGCUUCUAAGUCGGGGGUGAAAUCCUGGAGCUCAACUCCAGAACUGCCUUCGAUACUGGAAAGCUCGAGUCCGGGAGAGGUGAGUGGAACUGCGAGUGUAGAGGUGAAAUCGUAGAUAUUCGCAAGAACACCAGUGGCGAAGGCGGCUCACUGGCCCGGUACUGACGCUGAGGUGCGAAAGCGUGGGGAGCAAACAGG
rnacentral:rRNA from 1 species